AUCGGAAAUAAAUAAAAAAUAUCUGAAAGUAACAGGAAUAUUUAUUAGAGCAGUGAAAAUAUUUAUUAUAUAAAUUAAAAAAGCAUUUUUUAAAAAUUGCUAUCGAGCCACUGUUGAUCGCGGUGGUCGGUAAUUAUUAUUGACGAAGGAAUACUUUUAUUGAAAAAUUACAAGUAUUAAUUUAAUUGACAUCAUGGUACACAAACAGUACAGCACUUCCCUCAAGGGUCCAUACCAAGAAGUCAAGAAGGACAAACAGAUAGCAGAUAAAAAACCAUCGACAUCAUUUAAAAAUAGUGAAAAAAACGAUAAAAAUAACCCUUGGGGACCGGUUUUCAAAAGCAAACAAAACUUUAUUGACAUGCAUAUGUUUUAAAAUUAUUAUCCGAUUCAUUGAAUGGCGACCAUGACCCCAGCUACAGUCUUAUGGAAUUUUUAAAUUUAUUUUUUAAUUCAUUAAUUUAAAAUUUUCCACUAAAAUUAAAUUAAUAAAUUAAAAAAUUUAAAUAAAAAUUAUACGAUUAUGAUAAAGAAAAAAAAAAAUUCCUUCGCAGUAACGACUAAUUCGCAUCAAUUUGUUUCUUGCAUCGCAUCAACACAGGCAUUAUUAAUUAAUUAAUUAAUUAAUUUAAAAAAAAUUCAGAGGCAUUAUGACAAAAAAUCACUAGUCAAUUUAUUGUUAAAUAAUUAUAUAAAUAUAUGAUUAUAUAAUCGGCUUGUUAUUGUUAUUAUAAUUAUAAUUCGUUUUUAAAUAUAUAAUUUAUAAAUUUUGAUAUGAAAUAAAUUUUAUUGGUUUUGAAAAUUUGCAAUUUUUUUUUUUUUUAAAUUCAUCAUUGCCUAGCAAGGAACAAUGCGAACCGCGAGAACAGUGGCUCGAUUACGCAUUCGAAAAAUGAAAAAAAAAAAUUUAGAUCUUGUCACUGCUCUACUAAAUAUCGAUCGUUACUUUCAUAUAUUUUUUUUGUUACUAUUAAUUAAUACUAAUUAAUUUGUUUUAUAUUUUUUGUAAUGAUAAAACAAUUUUUUUUACUAACUGGUGAUUGUUGAUUUUUUUUAAUAAACUGGUGACGGUUAUGAUUAAUCAUUAAAAAAAAUAAUGAGUGAAAAGAAUUUAUUUAUUCGUUUAAAAUUAAUUUUUAAGCUGAUUAAUUUUGAGAGGGGGCGAAAUGGCUUCACUGUGAAAAAAAUUUUGGGUGGCCCGAAUUACCCGGGGAGCCUAUUCUACCCCGUUUUUUUGUUUAUGGACGAAAUAUAUGACGUCAUCAUGUAAAUAAAUAUAAAAUUAGCAUACAAAUAAAACGAUCGGAAUUUAAAUAAAAAAAAAACAUAAUUCUAAAAUAGAAAACCUGAAUUUCCGGGUUUCAGACUUCGGAAGUUGAAAAAAAAAGGAAAUAUGAAUAAUGAGAUUUUGAAAUUUUUUUUUUCAAUAAAA